ensembl:misc_RNA 7SK 7SK RNA
GAGCUGUAAUAUGUGAUGUAUGUUAUCUGUGACCCUACUGAUCACCAGAGCUUACUCAGCCGAUCUGAUUGGGUGGACAGGUGUCCCUCAUGCCUCACUGCCCCCAUGUGUACCCUUUAUGGUGGAAGAGGAAGAAGAUAACCUUCUCUGAUUGAAAAAGACUGCUUCCUUAAUCAAAGAUAUUCUAGUAGCUGGACUACCCUACCAGAACCUCCAAAAAGCUCUCACAUGGAUAAAACCUCUUCAAUAGCUCUAAGAAUGGCAGUUAUAUAUUGUGAAUUUUUGGAGGUUAUUUUAAUUUAUCA